rnacentral:rRNA from 1 species
AUGCAGUCGAGCGGACAGAUGGGAGCUUGCUCCCUGAUGUUAGCGUCGGACGGGUGAGUAACACGUGGGUAACCUGCCUGUAAGACUGGGAUAACUCCGGGAAACCGGGGCUAAUACCGGAUGGUUGUUUGAACCGCAUGGUUCAAACAUAAAAGGUGGCUUCGGCUACCACUUACAGAUGGACCCGCGGCGCAUUAGCUAGUUGGUGAGGUAACGGCUCACCAAGGCAACGAUGCGUAGCGACCUGAGAGGGUGAUCGGCCACACUGGGACUGAGACACGGCCCAGACUCCUACGGGAGGCAGCAGUAGGGAAUCUUCCGCAAUGGACAAAGUCUGACGGAGCAACGCCGCGUGAGUGAUGAAGGUUUUCGGAUCGUAAAGCUCUGUUGUUAGGGAAGAACAAGUACGUUCGAAUAGGGCGGUACCUUGACGGUACCUAACCAGAAAGCCACGGCUAACUACGUGCCAGCAGCCGCGGUAAUACGUAGGUGGCAAG